rnacentral:lncRNA from 1 species
AAGUGUAGGAGAUAGGGUAUAGGAAACCCCAGUUUUGAUUAGAUGAAUUCCUCUGGUCAACCACCAUGAACCAACUUGCUAGUUUGCAAUUCUCUUGACUUUUGGGACUCAUGGGAGAUCAUAUAUGCAUAAUAUGAUGAAAUUUGAAGUAUCCCUUGAAAUAUUUGAUCAAUUGGGUGAAGAAGCUUGUUGAAGAAGUUACAUAAGAUACGCAGAUGAAUUAGGGUUUCCAAGGCAAACCAAUUCGAAACUCUUGAUGAUUUCUUGAUCAAAAUAACAUGUGAAGAUCAUGGAGAUUCAUAUAUGAUGCUUAGAGCCAUUGUAAAUCAUUUCUUGAUUGAGCUCCUUGCAAUGAGGGUCUUAAAUCCUAGAUGUGAGCUUGAUAGAUAAAAGGUGAGCACAUGCCCUACCUACAAAAGAGUUAGACAAUACAAAGACAUAUUUUUAGUAUUUUGGUUAGUAAAGAUGCUAAAAUACAAAGUAUGAUACAAUCAAAUGGUGUUUGGUGAUCUCUCCCAAUGCAAACCCAAUGAAUGAGGGGUUAUGAGUAUGCCAAGAUGUGAUCCCAAUGCUAAUGCAUAUGAUGAGAUAGCAUGAGGGAUCUUAGGGUCAAAAUUGGGGUCUUACAGAAAGUUGACUAGAUAACCAAUCAAAAUAAAAAAGAUUCCAUUAGGGAUAUAAAUGUAACUCAAAUUGAAAUUGAAACUUAGAAAUUAUAAUACCUUCAAAUUGAUAUCAAAAUCUAGAAAUUGAAAUACCUUCAAAUUGAAAUUAAACCCUGGAAAUUGAAAUACCUUCAAAUUGAAUUUGAAAUCUGAAAAUGUAGUGAGUUGUAAAUCAAAAUCGAAACUGAUAUUGAAAUCGAAAGAGAAACUUGGAAAUGUAAUGUGCACGAAAUCAAAAUCAAAAUCGAAAAUGAAACCUGGAAAUAUAAUGAAAAAUAAAUCGAAAUUGAAUUUGAAAAUGUAAUGAGCGAAAAAUUGAAAUAAAAAUCAAAACAACGGUGAGAAGUGAUAGAAGAUGUAGGUUUUACAAUUCUGAGAUUUGUGAUAACAAGAACUAUCUAGUCAAGGAUUUUUCAAUUGUAGGGAAGGAAAUCCUUCGACACCUGAAUUAAUUCAGUAAAUUCAAAGUAUCGUUUGGUUCUAUGGAUGAGAGAGUUUCCUCCAAAGUCGGGAGUCAAUCUCCUCUUGCGAGAAUUCUUACACAUGACAUUUUUUUUAAUUUUAGAGGAAAUGGAAUACAAUUCAUAUUUUGGAGAAAAUGAAGGAAUGUCAAGAAUUAAGGGAAAUGAAAUAUUUAUGAAAAAACGCUUGAAAGAAUGGAUGUGAGGAUGGUUACGGAAGCAUAGUAGUUUCCUUUUUAAAUAAAAUUCUCUAUUUUUGUAGAAAUUAGUUGAGGUGGUUGCACAUAACUGUCGUGGCACCUAUCGCAAAUGAUAAAUAAGAACAGUUUUUAUGUAACCGUUUCAAUUUAAGUGCAAUAAAUCAACAAAAGUAUUAUAGUAAAAUGAAAAUGGAAAUUAUAAAUAUUUCUUGAUUACUUAAAUGUCAUUUUUUUAGUGUAAAUAACUUUUGAUAAAAAAGUAAUUUAAAAAGUUUAUAUGAUUGAUUUUUGAUAGGUUGAUAGUUACCUAACAAGUUUCACAUAAUCUUUUCACUAAAUUAUUGACAAAAUCAUUAGUUAAAUUAGAUCCGACUUAACAUAUUAGUUUUUUUUAUAACUUUAAAUAUUGAACUUAUUUUUAAUUUUGUACAACGCUAGUUUUUUAAUGAAGUACAAUUGUAAAAAACGGUUGUAUGUCCUUUAAAUAUGUGAUAUGUUAUAAUUAGUUUCGUUUUGAGAUAUACUUAAUUUAAUAUUAAAAUAACAUAAAUAAUGAAUUUGUUACAAAUGUAAAUCUUAAAGAGGCAUUUGACUCAUGUUUUAUCAUGCAUAUAGCCCGGCAUAUAGUGGAGUAACUUGUAGUACAAGCGCAAGUUAGCAUUAUCUCUUUAAAAAUCUAGCUAAGGACAGUAUGGUUUGAUGUGUAUAUGUUUGAAAUCACAUGCUUCAAACCAUCUGACUUUCAAUAUUUAAGGUAUGUUUAUAGUUCAGCUAGAGUCAGCUAGUACUAGACAAAUUGAUUUUAUAUUAAAGUAUAUAUUAAUACUUCAAUAUUUUAUGUUUGAAUUAUUACUUCACCUAUGUUUGAAUUAUUAAUAGUUCAUUGUCUUAUAAAAAUAUCUCUUUCUCUGUUCCAAAAUAAUUAUUUAUUACAUUAUUUUUUAAUAUUAUUUUUUUAUUUUAUUUAAUUAUUUAUUAAUUGUAAUUAAUAAUGUUUUUUAAUAAAUAAUAUUAAUUUUAUUAUUAAAAUUAAUAUAUUCAAUUAUUUUUUAAGAAUCACAUAUUUUUCAAAUAAUAUAUUUUUAUGAGAUGCAUGGAGUAAUAUGGUUUAAUAUAAUAUUUUUUUGUUUUACGUUAAACUCGAGGUUUAUUUUACUUUCUUAAAUUACAAAAUUUAAUAUCAAUUCUUUAAUUCUUUAACUCUAUAAUAAAUUAUGUUAGUCACUUUUGGCUAAAUAAUAAAAAAUUAAUUUCUAAAAAAUAAAAAAAUAAUAUGAUACAUUUUGAAAUUUUAAAAAAUUGAUAAAAUGAUUUUUCAAAUUAAGAAACAAAAUAAAUUUUAAAAUUAGCAUAAAAAAAAUAUUAAACCUUAUAAUAUUGUAUAGUCUCAAUCUCAACUUAAUAAAAGAUGGCACUACCAUGUCUCAUAUUGAAUAUAUUUUUAAUUAACAAACCAAUGGGUGGAUUUGGAAACUAGCAUUAUCAGUGAAGGUAUGCAUGUAAAUUGUAAUAGUAAGACGACAUUGUGAAUUCUAAGAAACAAUAAAAUAUGUUUGUCUGCAACAUUAAAUGUUGACAAAAUGCACAAGGUAUAGAGAAACCUUGUUUUUGUUGUAGUUUAUACAGUAAAAUGGUUUUUGGUUUUGCAUGUACAUAUAUGCUUACUUUAUUCAUGUAGCAAGCACGCGUCUGUGACGUGUAAGACUGAGUUGGACGUAAAUGAAUUGGUGCAGAGUAGUGGCAAAGCCAUAUGCUGAAGAAUGAGUUGAUUCAUAAAGCGGUGCUAUGAAUCUAAGAGCUUGCCGAAAACAGCACAAAAUCUAUCUAUGGCAUGUCUUGCGCGUGUCAUGUGAAUCAAAUUGUUAGCUUAAAAACUAUGACACGUUUUUAUUUCUGCUAUUUUUCAAUGCUGUUUAUUUAUCACUAUCUUGCUACUUGCUUUCAACAUUCAAGUGGUGUGUACUUCAACUUGCAUGUAAUUAAGAGUGUUUUAUCUCUUAAUAAGUGUUUUAUUUUAACAGCAUGAUUUAUGAAAAAUGUUUAAAUAUGUUAUUUUAAUUAUAUAAUUAACAUUAUUUAUUAUAAUUUUUUAUCAAUUAUAAUUAAUAGAGUAAUUGAAUAAAGUAAAAAAUUAAUAAAUAAAAAUAUAUUAUACAAAAAUAAUAAGUAUUAUAUUAAUAUUAUAAAAUAGAAUUUAAAUAAAAUUUUAAUUUUUUAUUUUAUCUUAUUUACAACAUUAAUCUCUACAUUAUUUAUUUGUCUUUUUUUUUCCUUUAAAUUUUUACACUUAAAAUUAAUAAUAUCAAAUUUAAAUGAUAUAUUAUUUAUAAAAUAAAUAAAAAAUCAUCGUACAAAAUUAUUUCUAGAAUUUUAAAGAUAAAGAAUAUAUAUUGAUUUUAUUAUAAAUUGACAUGUCAUUAAUUUUCAAUAAAAAGUAAAAUAAAAUAUCUUUUGUAAAACUUUAAAAAUAAAAAAGUAUAUAUAAAUUACCCAUUAUUAAAAUUCACAUCUCUUUAAUUUUCAAUACAAAAACUAAAAUAAAAGAUCAAAAUUA